AAUAAUUUCUGUUACUUGAGUUGCUUCAUGAAUUUUGUCCGCAGAAUUUCUAUAUUUUAGCUGUGUUUCUUUCAGACACAGCUUUUUGUGUACCGAGCAAAAUCGAAAGUCGUCAGAUCAGGCUCAAACUUGGGAUGAGCACAAAUUAGGGUCCCCACAUUCCAAAAAACGUAUGCGCCAAAAAAUUUUUUUUCCGGCCGGCCGGCCGUCUGCAGUAUAACACUAAAUUGCGAGGGAACUGUGAUAGAUAGAGACUUGCGGUAAACCUAUAAACCAAUACCUAUAAACCGGUUUUGCCUAUAUCUCAGAUAUCUUAAAAUCUGAAAUUUUGAUAUGUUGUAGGGGACAUCAAGCUCUCAACAUACCCUACAACUCUCUAGAACAUCCGAAGUUUCAAAAGUGACCGCUAGAGGGCCAAAAAACGAAAACAAAAUUUUCGAUGAAUAUCUCGAAAACGGCGACAUAUUGUUACGAUUUUUGGGAGAAAUGAAAUUACCGGAAAUAAACAAACGGUUAUUAUGAAUUUAAAUGAAACGAAACACGGCGAAAUGCCGAAAGAGAUUAAGAUGAAGAAGAAGAAGAUAGGACCCAUCAAAAAUAUGUUUCGAGGUCGGUCGGCAGCUAAAAUUUUGUCCGCAGUUUAUUUUUUCAUUCGGGUGAAUUUAUCUCGCUUUGGGAGCGUUCGGUGUGGGUGCAGAAAAUUUCCGCGGUUUUCUUCAAAAAUUCGUCAAUUUGAGACUUUGUGGUUUGAGAGUGCAAAAAUGAUGGAAAAUUCACGCAGAAGAGAUGCGAUCGUUUUUGGAACACAAUCAGUGCCCAGGAUGACCAGCCCGGAAGCCUUACCCGGAUGCCCUAUUCCCGGAUGGCCUGCCUGAAUGCUCUACCCGGAUGCCCUACCCGCUUCUGCUUUAAUUUUUGACAACAUUCCAAAAUGCGGAAAUAUCCGUUUGAAGCACAAAACUGUCCGUGCCUGGCUUCAGUCCUCAAUUUCUGGGAUCCGGUCUUACACAACUUUAUGCAACAUAAUUUUCCGGAAAUGGAAGGUGAGAAAGAUGAAAAAAUAUUUAGAAUACUUUUUCCCGGUCACAAAGGUGAAGAGGAGAGAUCAUCUGAAAAGCGGCCCAGCAUCGAAGGAGACAGCAGGAGAAGGAAAAGGCAACGCCGGAUAUAUUUUUUCAAUAUUUUUUUGUAAAUUUUAAAAAUAUUAAAUAAAUCUAUAUAAUAAAGAAAGGUCUGUUUGUUGGUAAUCUUCCGUCGUGUUCGGCUAUACAAAUCUACACCGUUUGACCGAUUGCGAUGAAAUUUGGUACAGACGCUCCUUAUAUCAGUCUGUUUCGAGUGGCCGUAUUCAUUUUCCCCCCAAAGCCCCCCUUUAGGUGGCCCCCAUAUAAAAUUCAUGCAUUUUUUGCGAAUUUUUGAAUUUGGCGCCGGAAAUGUUGCUUGAAAAUGAUUUCUUCUCUUUGCAAAUUUAUUUCUUUGGGUUUAAAUGAGUGGCCCUAUUUUUUUUACUUAUAAACCAUCACAAUUUUUUUCUCCAAAAUUUGCGCGAAGCGCAACAAGUCCCCGCGAAGCGGGGCGAGGUAAAUUGGAGCGAAGCGACAAUUUACCUCGUUAAUAAUAAUUUGCAAAAAAAACGCUUUUUUUUUAAAUUCAAAACGAAUUUCAACAGUAUAACAGAUUGAUGAAUUUUUUCAGAAAACUGCGGAAAUAUUCUGCAGAAAAAGUGUCCCAGCGCUAUACAAAAUUUCUAAAGAAUUUCUAAAGAACACGUGUUCAGAAUACCUUUAGUGCUUUCGAAUUUUUCUGCAGAAAUUCGGCAGCUAGUUUUUGAUGGGGAGGAGAGGUCAUAACCUCAAAGUUUUACCCCCAAAACCUUAUAUAAGUGCGGGAAGUGACUGCAGAAAUGCCUCGGAUUCCAUGAGCUCCACACUAAGAAGAAGAGGAGCUGUUGGUAGCCAGCCACCUAGAAGGCAGAAGAAACACCCCGAUUCCACGAGCCCCCAGUCUGAGAGGAGCGUUUGUGGCAGUGUCGAGCCAGGAAGGAUGUCAAUUGACUUAACUCACACCGGGAUCCAGGGCGUGAGGAGAGAUCUCACAAAAUCCCCAAUCACCCGAAAAUCUGUCGGAGAAUCUAGUGGGCCCGAAUCGAAGGAUGUCUUGGAUGAUGAUCUACCAUAUUGGAGUCAUUUAUCGUCCACUUCCUGCCCAGUGCCUCGCUCCAGGGAGGCUCAUCCCCAUCAGGAGCCACGAGGUCGUACCCGGAUAGACCAAGCUUUGGUCAUCUCCCACACUGGUGAAGAAAUCAAUGCCCACUGCUGCAUCCCAAGGAGAUUCAUCACGAAGUGAUUCACGGCGGAACAAUAGAUCCGGAAGGUAGCUCCAUUGCUUUUCCGGAGGCUGCCCUAACUCUUACCUGGGAUUAUUCUUCAGAAUUUAUGCCACACUUAUUCUUAAAAAUAAAUAGAUGUUCCUGAGGUGACCUAUGCUGUUUUUCUUCCCCCCCCUCUCUCUUCUAGGCUCUCGUGGAAUCUCAUUCUUUGGGGCUACUUUAAAGCCGAAUAUGAUAAGGGUAAAUUUCGUCACAAAAAAUUUUUUUUUUAAAAUUUUUUGAUAUAUUGUAGCUGACUAUAUUAUCUAGGCUCCAUGCCAAAAAUGCAGAAAAUCUAUGGAUCCGUUCUCGAGAUAUAGCCUUCCAAAGUUGGCAUGUCAUAUCUCGGGUUCUACAAGUCUGAUCUUGAUCAACUCAAGCGCAAAUGAAAGGUUUCGUGAAACUCUACAAAUGUCUAGAACAUUGCAACUUCGAGAAAUGACCGCAAGAGACGCUAAAAUCGAAAACAAAACUUUCGAAAAUUUCGAACUCGAAUUUUUUGAAAAUGGCGACAUAAUUUUUUUUCGUUUUUCGAUAUGUUAUAGCUGACUUCAAGACAUGACUUUUCAACUUUUCCCGACUUUACACGUAUUUAAAUUAAUUCGCGUUCUAAGUUUGCUUUCACAAAAUUGGUACACGGAAAGAAACACAGCUCUCGUAAGCUUGGUCAGCUUACCAGUACAUUUCCUAAUUUUCUUUACACGAUCUUGAAGUAAUAAAA